rnacentral:rRNA from 1 species
UGCCAGUAGUCAUAUGCUUUUCUCAAAGAUUAAGCCAUGCAUGUCUAAGUGCAAGCCAAAUUAAGGUGAAACCGCGGAAGGCUCAUUAUAUCAGUUAUGGUUCAAUAGAUCGUACUCAGUUACAUGGAUAACUGCGGAAAUACUGGAGCUAAUACAUGCCAACAGAGUCCCGACCGGAGACGGAAGGGACGCUUUUAUUAGAUCAAAACCAAUCGGUGGCUUCGGCCAUCGUUCAACUUGGUGACUCUGAAUAACUUUGGGCUGAUCGCACGGCCUCUGUGCCGGCGACGCAUCUUUCAAAUGUCUGCCUUAUCAACUGUCGAUGGUAGGUUCUGCGCCUACCAUGGUUGUAACGGGUAACGGGGAAUCAGGGUUCGAUUCCGGAGAGGGAGCCUGAGAAACGGCUACCACAUCCAAGGAAGGCAGCAGGCGCGCAAAUUACCCACUCCCGGCUCGGGGAGGUAGUGACGAAAGAUAACGAUACGGGACUCAUCCGAGGCCUCGUAAUCGGAAUGACUACACUUUAAAUCCUUUAAGGAGUAUCAAUUGGAGGGCAAGUCUGGUGCCAGCAGCCGCGGUAAUUCCAGCUCCAAUAGCGUAUAUUAAAGUUGUUGCGGUUAAAAAGCUCGUAGUUGGAUCUGUGUCCCGCACGGUCGGUUCACCGCCCGACGGUGUAUCACUGACGCGCUGCGGGAAGUCCUGCCGGUGGCGUGUCUAGCUGCUUGGUUUUCGGACCUUGCGGGCGGCGCCGAGUCAAUCCCAUUGCGGUGCUCUUCACUGAGUGUCGAAGUGGGCCGGCACGUUUACUUUGAACAAAUUAGAGUGCUCAAAGCAGGCUGAAUUUACGCCUGAAUACUAGUGCAUGGAAUAAUGGAAUAGGACCUCGGUUCUAUUUUGUUGGUUUUCGGAACCAGAGGUAAUGAUUAAUGGAGACAGGCGGGGGCAUUCGUAUUGCGACGUUAGAGGUGAAAUUCUUGGAUCGUCGCAAGACGGACAGAAGCGAAAGCAUUUGCCAAGGAUGUUCUCGUUAAUCAAGAACGAAAGUUAGAGGUUCGAAGGCGAUCAGAUACCGCCCUAGUUCUAACCAUAAACGAUGUCAGCUAGAAAUCCGAUAAAGCUCCUUGUAUGGCUUAUCGGGCGUCUUCCGGGAAACCAAAGCUUUUGGGUUCCGGGGGAAGUAUGGUUGCAAAGCUGAAACUUAAAGGAAUUGACGGAAGGGCACCACCAGGAGUGGAGCCUGCGGCUUAAUUUGACUCAACACGGGAAACCUCACCAGGCCCGGACACUGGAAGGAUUGACAGAUUGAGAGCUCUUUCUUGAUUCAGUGGGUGGUGGUGCAUGGCCGUUCUUAGUUGGUGGAGCGAUUUGUCUGGUUAAUUCCGAUAACGAACGAGACUCUGGCCUACUAACUAGUCGUCCCGGCUUCCUCUGUGCAGCCGGCGAAGACAAAUCUUCUUAGAGGGACAGGCGGCUUCUAGCCGCACGAGAUUGAGCAAUAACAGGUCUGUGAUGCCCUUAGAUGUUCUGGGCCGCACGCGCGCUACAAUGGAGGUGACAGCGUGUGCCCCCUGGCCGAGAGGUCCGGGUAAUCUGUUGAAACACCUUCGUGCUUGGGAUUGGGGCUUGAAAUUGUUCCCCAUGAACGAGGAAUUCCCAGUAAAGGCGCGUCAUCAGCACGCCUUGAUUACGUCCCUGCCCUUUGUACACACCGCCCGUCGCUACUACCGAUUGAAUGAUUUAGUGAGGUCUUCGGACUGGCGCGCGGCGUUAUUUCGGUAUCGCCGCUGCCGCUGGAAAGAUGACCGAACUUGAUCAUUUAGAGGAAGUAAAAGUCGUAACAAGGUUUCCGUAGGUGAACCUGCG